rnacentral:rRNA from 1 species
CCUACGGGAGGCAGCAGUGAGGAAUAUUGGUCAAUGGGCGCGAGCCUGAACCAGCCAAGUCGCGUGAGGGAUGACGGCCCUACGGGUUGUAAACCUCUUUUGCCGGGGAGCAACGGGCGCCACGUGUGGCGCCACUGAGAGUACCCGGAGAAAAAGCAACGGCUAACUCCGUGCCAGCAGCCGCGGUAAUACGGAGGAUGCGAGCGUUAUCCGGUGUUAUUGGGGUUAAAGGGUGCGGAGGCGGAACGUUAAGGCAGUGGUGAAAUUGAGGGGCUCAACCCCUUGCCGCCAUUGAAACUGGCGAUCUUGAGUGGAAGAGAAGGAAGCGGAAUGCGUGGGGUAGCGGUGAAAUGCAUAGAUAUCAGGCAGAACCCCGAUUGCGAAGGCAGCAUGCCGGCUUCCGACUGACGCUGAAGCACGAAAGCGUGGGGAUCGAACAGGAUUAGAUACCCGGGUAGUC